rnacentral:rRNA from 1 species
CAUGCAAGUCGAACGGUGAACACGGAGCUUGCUCUGUGGGAUCAGUGGCGAACGGGUGAGUAACACGUGAGCAACCUGCCCCUGACUCUGGGAUAAGCGCUGGAAACGGCGUCUAAUACUGGAUAUGUGACGUGAUCGCAUGGUCUGCGUCUGGAAAGAAUUUCGGUUGGGGAUGGGCUCGCGGCCUAUCAGCUUGUUGGUGAGGUAAUGGCUCACCAAGGCGUCGACGGGUAGCCGGCCUGAGAGGGUGACCGGCCACACUGGGACUGAGACACGGCCCAGACUCCUACGGGAGGCAGCAGUGGGGAAUAUUGCACAAUGGGCGCAAGCCUGAUGCAGCAACGCCGCGUGAGGGAUGACGGCCUUCGGGUUGUAAACCUCUUUUAGCAGGGAAGAAGCGAAAGUGACGGUACCUGCAGAAAAAGCGCCGGCUAACUACGUGCCAGCAGCCGCGGUAAUACGUAGGGCGCAAGCGUUAUCCGGAAUUAUUGGGCGUAAAGAGCUCGUAGGCGGUUUGUCGCGUCUGCUGUGAAAUCCGGAGGCUCAACCUCCGGCCUGCAGUGGGUACGGGCAGACUAGAGUGCGGUAGGGGAGAUUGGAAUUCCUGGUGUAGCGGUGGAAUGCGCAGAUAUCAGGAGGAACACCGAUGGCGAAGGCAGAUCUCUGGGCCGUAACUGACGCUGAGGAGCGAAAGGGUGGGGAGCAAACAGGCUUAGAUACCCUGGUAGUCCACCCCGUAAACGUUGGGAACUAGUUGUGGGGUCCAUUCCACGGAUUCCGUGACGCAGCUAACGCAUUAAGUUCCCCGCCUGGGGAGUACGGCCGCAAGGCUAAAACUCAAAGGAAUUGACGGGGACCCGCACAAGCGGCGGAGCAUGCGGAUUAAUUCGAUGCAACGCGAAGAACCUUACCAAGGCUUGACAUAUACGAGAACGGGCCAGAAAUGGUCAACUCUUUGGACACUCGUAAACAGGUGGUGCAUGGUU